AGUUUAAAGUUAUCUUUUUAAAUGUAUCCUGCCCAGUGUAAUUUUUAUAAAUGGCCGCAGUACCCUGACUGUGCAAAGGUAGCAUAAUCAAUUGGCUUUUAAUUAAAGUCUGGAAUGAAAGGAUUUAUGGAAAAAGACUGUCUUAAAAAAUAUUUUAUUUAAUUUAGUUAUUAGGUGAAAAUACCUAUGUAUAGAAAAAAGACGAGAAGACCCUUAGAAUUUUUAUAAUAUAGAUACUUUUAUUAAUUAUUUUUGUUGGGGCGACAAUUAAGCAAUUAAACCUUAAGUUUUUUAAAACGAAAUUGUUAUAAAAGAUUAAAUUACCUUAGGGAUAACAGCAUUAUUUAUAAAAGUUUGUGACCUCGAUGUUGGACUAGGAACUUUAUGGCCAGCAGUCUAAAAAGAUUUGUUCUGUUCGAACAAUUAAAUCCU
rnacentral:rRNA from 1 species